rnacentral:rRNA from 1 species
GUCGAACGAUGAAGCUGGAGCUUGCUCCGGUGGAUUAGUGGCGAACGGGUGAGUAACACGUGAGAAAUCUGCCCUUGACUCUGGGAUAACUGCGGGAAACUGUAGCUAAUACCGGAUACUUUCCUUGGUGGGCAUCCACUGAGGAAGAAAGAAUUUCGGUCAAGGAUGAUCUCGCGGCCUAUCAGCUAGUUGGUGAGGUAAUGGCUCACCAAGGCGACGACGGGUAGCCGGCCUGAGAGGGUGACCGGCCACACUGGAACUGAGACACGGUCCAGACUCCUACGGGAGGCAGCAGUGGGGAAUAUUGCACAAUGGGCGCAAGCCUGAUGCAGCAACGCCGCGUGAGGGAUGAAGGCCUUCGGGUUGUAAACCUCUUUUAGCAGGGAAGAAGCGAAAGUGACGGUACCUGCAGAAAAAGCACCGGCUAACUACGUGCCAGCAGCCGCGGUAAUACGUAGGGUGCAAGCGUUAAUCGGAAUUACUGGGCGUAAAGCGUGCGCAGGCGGUUAUACAAGACAGGCGUGAAAUCCCCGGGCUUAACCUGGGAAUGGCGUCUGUGACUGUAUGACUAGAGUGUGUCAGAGGGGGGUAGAAUUCCACGUGUAGCAGUGAAAUGCGUAGAUAUGUGGAGGAAUACCAAUGGCGAAGGCAGCCCCCUGGGAUAACACUGACGCUCAUGCACGAAAGCGUGGGGGGCAAACAGGAUUAGAUACCCUGGUAG